AUGAGUGUGUUAGAGGUGACCCCAGUGUCAAUCAGAAUAUUCCAGAAUCAGUCAGUUCUCUAUGCCAACAACCCAUGGCCUAGAGUACAAUCUAAGAAGCCAGUUUUUGGAAUGUGUACCUUAUACCUUAUAACCUCUAAGACCUAUAGACCACUAGGUUUCAUGGAGCAGCAUGAAGACUCCAUCUGCCUACAGAGAUAGAGCCAGGCUUGGCUUAGUCAAGAAGUGUCAUUGUAUUCUCUAUAGUACAGGAGUGAAUAUUUGUUUUAUAUCUCUAUGAAACUAAAUCUGAUUUCUCCGGGAUACUCCAUUAGACAUGUAUACACUUACCUUUGGAGGUCUGCUGGGGCAGGCCCACAAGAACUCUAAUCAAAUAAAGGAGUAGCCCUCUGCAAGAAGAACUCAUCCUGGGAGAAAGGAGAAUCAAUCAAAUGAAUUUGAUCUAACAACUAAACCUCAGGUGUUUAAUAAGAGUCAUGGCAAUUCUGAAUGCAGUAUGGCAUCUAUCUCUCAGGUCUGACCUCAAACACACAAACAGAACUCAUGCCUAUAGCACUGAGUUACAUGAUGAGAUUUGGAGUCCUGAAAAAUUAUCACAGCCAGUGAUGUGCUGGAGCUAAACUCUACUCUUCCAAAAGCCGAUGAAUAAAUCAUCAGGCAAAACCAGUAACAUCAGAGGUGUCCACUGAAUGGCUCAGAAUUGAGAAAAUCCACCUUUCUGGAAGCAGAGUGACAGAGGAGCUGAAACUGGAGGCUCCUACAUAGUGGUCUGGAGAAUAUGGCAUUUCCUUUCACAAUCAGAGCAACAGGAGA